GCACCAUUAGUGUAGCGGCAUCAUUGUACCCUCCCAAGGUACAGAUACCGGUUCGACUCUUGCUUGGUGCA